CAUGAGCCGUCAGCCCGCAUGUCCGCUCGCACACCAGGCGCCACUCCCCCGCUCCCCCGCUCCAGCCGCCUCUCCUCCGCUCCCCUCCCCUCUCACGAACCCUAGCGCCGCCACACCCCGCGCAACGGCCACAUCCCUUCCCGCUCUCCGCUCGCCGCACAGCCGCCGCAUCCCUGCCCGCUCUCCACCCACCUCGGUCGGCCCCUCCCACACCUCUCCUCUGCCCCGAGACCCCCAGCCACCCAACCCCAACUCCGGCGGUCUCCUCUCCCUCCAGCGCCGCCGCUCUAUCCUCUUCCGUGACCCUCACCUUCCUUCCUCUUCAAAGGAAGGGAUGGGAAGGGAAGGGGAGGGGAGGCCCUAGAUCGAGCGGAGCGACACAGCGGCACCGGCACAGCCGGCGGCGAUGGCUUUCUGGCAGGCACGCCACUUCUUGUUUUGCAGCGUGUGCGGCACCCUCCUCGACUUCAACUCCCAAGCAUCCUUGUGUGUUGUGUCUGAAAAUCCUGUGGCUAAUGCAAGACAUGCCCCUUGUUUUCUCAAAAUCAAUGAAUGGUUCCAGGCAAAUAACUAGGUGGCUUAAAAUGGAGGCUUGCAUGCCCAAGGCAGGUGGUUAAGGCCCUCUUUAGUUGGUGUGGCAGUGGUGAGUGGAAUGCACGAUGCAGCAGCCUGGAGAAGUGGCCAACACGGCUUAGGAAGCGCCCCACCUGUGAAGCGAUACAUCUGAUGCCAACAUACCAAGGGACUUGAACUCAUGGACAAGGCAUCAUCCUUAUUGCAAGAUAUAAUCCUGGCCGGCGGAAGUACAGUGACACAAAGAACCCGGGCGCCGUCUGCUUCCUGCAUCGGCAAGCAAGCGGCGGAGCUUCCAACGGGCAGAAAUGCGUGCAUGUUGGACUUAUGACAUAACUGAAGUAUGUAACUGUAUUUUGUUAUUCCAUCUCUUUCUUAUUUUGUUAUGUGCUUAUACUUCAAACAUAGGUUAGGGACCUAGAAUACAUCCUGUGCGGUUACCAUCAAAGUUGUAGUUGUAGGUUAUAGUUACUACCCUUCAGAAAUAAUCACGAGUUGGCCUAUCAUUGUUGUCAGGAACGCACAUUAUUGCCCUUAUUGGGUACGUUCAUUUUUCCUUAAAAAAAGGUAAUGCACACGACACGAUAGGGAUACAUCAUGCACAACAUCGGAAAAUGCUAUAUAAAGGAGGAGGGUCGUACAAUACAUCUUGCUAAAUUAUGGUGUGUCUCUGUAGUACCCAAGGGUCCAAGAGAGUCUUACAAUAAAAUGCUACAUAUAACUAAAAGAGGAGAGUCCCUGCUGUGAGUAGCAAGUCAAUUUCUACCAGGGAAAACUAAUAAAUUCAUUUUGUUUUUCAAUGCUAAAUUUACUCGAAGAUUAUAUUUCUGUAUUUCCAAUAUGGUGUGAAAUGAGCGUACUGUAAUAAUUAUGGAUAACUUGUCGCUUCUGACAAAGUGCUCCACACACGACAAUGUCGGGACGAUAACUGCAUGACCAAGGGAUCCAGCGGCCGCUGCUGGGCUGGGCUCGAGAUUCCUCGGCUGGAUUUAAUCAUCGUGCACGAGUCGUCCAAACUCUAUCGUCCCCGUAGCACUGCUCCAAGCUAAUAGUCUGAGUGUGUGUCUUCUUCAUUUUUACGUUCAUCAGUUUGUACUUUUUUUUUUUGAAAUAUUCAAUAUAUUUGACAGUAGGUCUGGUUUUGCCUAUCUUUCCUUGGUGUUGCCUCCAAAUUGAUUUCUUUUUUUCUUUCAAGCUACAACAGUGAGUUCACCUAAGUAUCUUGAUGUGUCCUCGUAUAUGUUUGGCUUUUUGUUGGAAUGUUGUUGGUUGUCCUGUGAAGCGACACUUCUGAUGCCAACAUACCAAGGUGAGCUUCACCUACUUCCCCACUCUGUAUAUAUGCAAGCCUGUGUGAUGUACUCUGCUUCUUCCUCCCCUUUUAAUUAAUUAAUCUCUUACUAAGCAGAGCAUGCUUCAAUGAUCUGUGGCUCCGAAGGGAAUUUACUACUAGGAAUAUAUGCAAUGUUUGGUUAUCUAUGUCCAUCUAACUGUCAAAAACAUCUGUGGAAUGCAAAAUGGACUGUGUAAUACUUCUUGAAGAGGCAAUGCUUGUUAUCUGUAUGCAAGUUUCUAACCGCAUUAGCAGGAAAACGUUUGGUUUCCGUUAGUGUAAUCUUCAAUAUAUCAUUUUUGCUGCUUGGAACCAGACCUUCGAACUUCUGUUCCGCAUGAUAUUUAUUCUCCGGUGAAGUAGUAAAAUAAAUGCAUAGUCUGCCGGCCCUCGCUAAGAGCCCAGCUGAUUUAAAAUGUGCCAGUGUGCUCCUUCUAUAUCUACAUGUGAUGCACAUUUAUGUCUGACCAAUCCAUUGGAUUGAAUUUGUACUGCAGGUUUUACUAAAAAAAUCCAUUACCAUCACAAGCUGUAUGUGGCACAGGUGCUUAUUUAGGCAAUGCGUAGUCUUAAUGUGAGGAGGUGCCGAGAUACACAAAGGGUUGGAGCAGGACUGCAGGAGGAGGCGAGGAUAUGUUUUGUUUCAGAUCCACCUGAUUAAUCCCAAAUUUUUGCAAGUUUGGAUUACUCUGAGCAAUUCUCUCCGAAGUUGAGAGUACUCUGAGCACUGCCCAUAGCGCGCCACGACGACUGUUUGCACAUCAGGAGCCUCGCGACGCAGUCCUCAUAUGACCACAUCCUCAGAAGACAAUAACAAGUCUGCUUAUUCAUGCAUGCACACCCUCAGAAGACCACAAUCGGCCUGAGAAAUCUUCUCUGCUCAAACUAUGUAUGCUUAUAUACAUGAGGCAUCUCUGCCUAUGUUGCUUGCUUUUUGAAAGCAUUGUAAAUGGCUAUCAAAACUUCUUAUAAUGCUAUGUAUCAGCAUCGUACCUAAGUAUAUAUUUCCUUGUGACUAAAUAUUCUGACGAGCUU